GUGACCUCAAAUCAGGUAGGACUACCCGCUGAACUUAAGCAUAUCAAUAAGCGGAGGAAAAGAAACUAACAAGGAUUCCCCUAGUAACUGCGAGUGAAGCGGGAAAAGCUCAAAUUUAAAAUCUGGCAGUCUUUGGCUGUCCGAGUUGUAAUCUAGAGAAGUGUUAUCCGCGCUGGACCGUGUACAAGUCUCCUGGAAUGGAGCGUCAUAGAGGGUGAGAAUCCCGUCUUUGACACGGACUACC
rnacentral:rRNA from 1 species